rnacentral:rRNA from 1 species
AUACGUAGGUGACAAGCGUUAUCCGGAUUUACUGGGCGUAAAGGGCGUGUAGGCGGUCUUGCAAGUCAGAAGUGAAAUUCCUGAGCUCAACUCGGGCGCUGCUUCUGAAACUGCAGGACUUGAGUGCUGGAGGGGAUAGCGGAAUUCCUAGUGGAGCGGUAAAAUGCGCAGAUAUUAGGAAGAACACCGGUGGCGAAGGCGGCUAUCUGGACAGUAACUGACGCUGAGGCGCGAAAGCGUGGGGAGCAAACAGGAUUAGAUACCCUGGUAGUCCACGCCAUAAACGAUGAAUACUAGGUGUAGGGGGUAUCGACCCCCUCUGUGCCGACGUUAACACAUUAAGUAUUCCACCUGGGGAGUACGGCCGCAAGGUUGAAACUCAAAUGAAUUGACGGGG